rnacentral:rRNA from 1 species
AAAAGUGAAAGACGGUCUUGCUGUCACUUAUAGAUGGAUCCGCGCUGCAUUAGCUAGUUGGUAAGGUAACGGCUUACCAAGGCAACGAUGCAUAGCCGACCUGAGAGGGUGAUCGGCCACACUGGAACUGAGACACGGUCCAGACUCCUACGGGAGGCAGCAGUAGGGAAUCUUCCGCAAUGGGCGAAAGCCUGACGGAGCAACGCCGCGUGAGUGAUGAAGGUCUUCGGAUCGUAAAACUCUGUUAUUAGGGAAGAACAUAUGUGUAAGUAACUGUGCACAUCUUGACGGUACCUAAUCAGAAAGCCACGGCUAACUACGUGCCAGCAGCCGCGGUAAUACGUAGGUGGCAAGCGUUAUCCGGAAUUAUUGGGCGUAAAGCGCGCGUAGGCGGUUUUUUAAGUCUGAUGUGAAAGCCCACGGCUCAACCGUGGAGGGUCAUUGGAAACUGGAAAA